GUGAGGAAUAUUGCGCAAUGGAGGCAACUCUGACGCAGCCAUGCCGCGUGCAGGAAGAAGGCGCUACGCGUUGUAAACUGCUUUUAACCGGGAAGAAACCCCAGGACGUGUCCUGGGUUGACGGUACCGGAGGAAUAAGCACCGGCUAACUUCGUGCCAGCAGCCGCGGUAAUACGAAGGGUGCAAGCGUUAUCCGGAUUCAUUGGGUUUAAAGGGUGCGUAGGCGGAGCGUUAAGUCAGUGGUGAAAUCCUGCAGCUUAACUGUAGACUUGCAAUUGAUACUGGCGCUCUUGAGUGCGCUUGAAGUGGGCGGAAUGUGCCGUGUAGCGGUGAAAUGCUUAGAUAUGGCACAGAACACCAAUUGCGAAGGCAGCUCACUAAGGCGAUACUGACGCUGAGGCACGAAAGCGUGGGGAUCGAACAGGAUUAGAUACCCUGGUAGUCC
rnacentral:rRNA from 1 species